rnacentral:piRNA from 1 species
UGAUGACCGAUGAUUCUUCUUGCCAGUUGU